rnacentral:rRNA from 1 species
UACGUAGGGUGCAAGCGUUGUCCGGAAUUAUUGGGCGUAAAGAGCUCGUAGGCGGUUUGUCACGUCGGCUGUGAAAACCCGGGGCUCAACCCCGGGCCUGCAGUCGAUACGGGCAAACUAGAGUUCGGCAGGGGAGACUGGAAUUCCUGGUGUAGCGGUGAAAUGCGCAGAUAUCAGGAGGAACACCGGUGGCGAAGGCGGCAUCCUGGACCGACACUGACACUGAGGAGCGAAAGCCAGGGGAGCAAACGGG